rnacentral:rRNA from 1 species
GACGAACGCUGGCGGCGUGCCUGACACAUGCAAGUCGGACGGUCCGUGAUUGAUCAAGCUUGCUUGAUUGGUUGUGGAUAGUGGCGGACGGGUGAGUAACGCGUGAACACCUACCCAUUGGAGGGGUACAACCCGUCGAAAGGCGGGCUAAUACCGCGUAAGCCGUGAGGUGAAAGGCUGCUCUUUGGUGGCUGCCGAUGGAUGGGUUCGCGUCCUAUCAGCUGGUUGGUGGGGUAACGGCCUACCAAGGCUAAGACGGGUAGCCGGUCUGAGAGGAUGGCCGGCCACACUGGAACUGAGACACGGUCCAGACUCCUACGGGAGGCAGCAGUGGGGAAUCUUGGGCAAUGGGGGAGACCCUGACCCAGCGACGCCGCGUGGAGGAAGAAGGUCUUCGGAUUGUAAACUCCUGUCUUCUGGGACGAAGUAUGACGGUACCAGAGGAGGAAGCCACGGCUAACUACGUG